rnacentral:rRNA from 1 species
GGUACAUCGGUGACAGGUGGUGCAUGGUUGUCGUCAGCUCGUGUCGUGAGAUGUUGGUUAGUCCCGCAACGAGCGCAACCCCUAUUGUUAGUUGCCAUCAUUCAGUUGGGCACUCUAGCGAGACUGCCGGUAAUAAACCGGAGGAAGGUGGGGAUGACGUCAAAUCAUCAUGCCCCUUAUGACCUGGGCUACACACGUGCUACAAUGGUUGGUACAACGAGUUGCGAGUCGGUGACGGCGAGCUAAUCUCUUAAAGCUAAUCUCAGUUCGGAUUGUAGGCUGCAACUCGCCUACAUGAAGUCGGAAUCGCUAGUAAUCGCGGAUCAGCACGCCGCGGUGAAUACGUUCCCGGGCCUU